rnacentral:rRNA from 1 species
CCUACGGGUGGCAGCAGUAGGGAAUAUUGCUCAAUGGGGGAAACCCUGAAGCAGCAACGCCGCGUGGAGGAUGAAGGUUCUCGGAAUGUAAACCCCUUUUGGUAGGGAAGAUAAUGACGGUACCUGACGAAUAAGCACCGGCUAACUCCGUGCCAGCAGCCGCGGUAAUACGGAGGGUGCAAGCGUUAUUCGGAAUCACUGGGCGUAAAGGGCGCGUAGGCGGGAUCGCAAGUCAGAAGUGAAAUCCUAUGGCUUAACCCUAGAACUGCAGUUGAAACUGUUAGUCUAGAGUAGGGGAGAGGUAGGUGGAAUUCUUGGUGUAGGGGUGAAAUGCGUAGAUAUCAAGAGGAACACUCAUUGCGAAGGCGGCCUGCUGGAACAUAACUGACGCUGAGGCGCGAAAGCGUGGGGAGCAAACAGGAUUAGAUACCCGUGUAGUC